GACGAACGCUGGCGGCGUGCUUAACACAUGCAAGUCGAACGGAAAGGCCCUGCUUUUGUGGGGUGCUCGAGUGGCGAACGGGUGAGUAACACGUGAGUAACCUGCCCUUGACUUUGGGAUAACUUCAGGAAACUGGGGCUAAUACCGGAUAGGAGCUCCUGCUGCAUGGUGGGGGUUGGAAAGUUUCGGCGGUUGGGGAUGUACUCGCGGCUUAUCAGCUUGUUGGCGGGGUAGUGGCUUACCAAGGCUUUGACGGGUAGCCGGCCUGAGAGGGUGACCGGCCACAUUGGGACUGAGAUACGGACCAGACGCCUACGGGAGGCAGCAGUGGGGAAUAUUGCACAAUGGGCGGAAGCCUGAUGCAGCAACGCCGCGUGCGGGAUGACGGCCUUCGGGUUGUAAACCGCUGUCGCCGGUGACGAAGCGUGAGUGACGGUAAUGGGUAAAGAAGCACCGGCUAACUACGUG
rnacentral:rRNA from 1 species